rnacentral:misc_RNA from 1 species
GUGCAUCGAACUGCUGGCUCCCCAUCAACUUCAGUCUUUCCCCCAAGUGAAGCUCAUUCCUUGCGGGGGUGCGGACGGUAUCCUGUGCUGCUUACCAUGAAUCGGAAAUUGUUGGCUUUGUUGUGUUGAUCCGCCUUUGUGUCCUUUGGGGCACGAGGUGGACGUGAGGCGGACUUUGUGUUCCUAGCAUGCCUAGUGCAUUGUUGCUUGGCUGUUGUGGCCCAUAGAGUCUCAGCUUGUUCUCUCGGAUAUGGAAUGCUACGCAUAGGCAAACAGGUCUUGGCCUAAAUUUGCCUAAGCAUUGGUCCCUUGACUCGAACGACUGCUGUGCCUGUGUUGAUCUUCCCGACCAAGGCCCUUUGAUGGGUUUACUGGAUGAGGGUUUGCUCAUAUGGGCAUUGGCAUCGAUGAGGAAUGU